rnacentral:rRNA from 1 species
GUAAUACUUACUGGAGGUCCGAACCCACGCACGUUGAAAAGUGCGGGGAUGAGGUGUGGGUAGCGGAGAAAUUCCAAUCGAACUUGGAGAUAGCUGGUUCUCUCCGAAAUAGCUUUAGGGCUAGCCUCGAGGUAAAGAGUCAUGGAGGUAGAGCACUGUUUGGACUAGGGGCCCUUCUCGGGUUACCGAAUUCAGAUAAACUCCGAAUGCCAUGUACUUAUACUCGGGAGUCAGACUGCGAGUGAUAAGAUCCGUAGUCGAAAGGGAAACAGCCCAGACCACCAGUUAAGGUCCCCAAAUAUAUGUUAAGUGGAAAAGGAUGUGGGGUUGCUUAGACAACCAGGAUGUUGGCUUAGAAGCAGCCACCAUUGAAAGAGUGCGUAAUAGCUCACUGGUCGAGUGACCCCGCGCCGAAAAUGUACCGGGGCUAAACAUAUUACCGAAACUGUGGAUGAACCUCUUUAGAGGUUCGUGGUAGGAGAGCGUUCUAAGGGCGGUGAAGUCAGACCGGAAGGACUGGUGGAGCGCUUAGAAGUGAGAAUGCCGGUAUGAGUAGCGAAAGAAGGGUGAGAAUCCCUUCCACCGAAUAUCUAAGGUUUCCUGAGGAAGGCUCGUCCGCUCAGGGUUAGUCGGGACCUAAGCCGAGGCCGAUAGGCGUAGGCGAUGGACAACAGGUAGAGAUUCCUGUACCAGUGCUAAUUGUUUAACCGAUGGGGUGACACAGAAGGAUAGGGAAUCGCACGAAUGGAAAUGUGCGUCCAAGCAGUGAGUGUGAGAAGUAGGCAAAUCCGCUUCUCGCGAAGCAUGAGCUGUGAUGGGGAAGGAAAUUAAGUACGGAAGUUCCUGAUUUCACGCUGUCAAGAAAAGCCUCUAGGAAGAGUAGUACUGCCCGUACCGCAAACCGACACAGGUAGAUGAGGAGAGAAUCCUAAGGUGAGCGAGAGAACUCUCGUUAAGGAACUCGGCAAAAUGACCCCGUAACUUCGGGAGAAGGGGUGCUCUAUUAGGGUGCAAGCCCGAGAGAGCCGCAGUGAAUAGGCCCAGGCGACUGUUUAGCAAAAACACAGGUCUCUGCAAAACCGUAAGGUGACGUAUAGGGGCUGACGCCUGCCCGGUGCUGGAAGGUUAAGAGGAGUGCUUAGCUUCGGCGAAGGUACGAAUUGAAGCCCCAGUAAACGGCGGCCGUAACUAUAACGGUCCUAAGGUAGCGAAAUUCCUUGUCGGGUAAGUUCCGACCCGCACGAAAGGCGCAACGAUCUGGGCACUGUCUCAACGAGAGACUCGGUGAAAUUAUAGUACCUGUGAAGAUGCAGGUUACCCGCGACAGGACGGAAAGACCCCGUGGAGCUUUACUGCAACCUGAUAUGGAAUGUUUGUACCGCUUGUACAGGAUAGGUAGGAGCCGAAGAGACGUGUGCGCUAGCAUACGAGGAGGCAAUGGUGGGAUACUACCCUGGCUGUAUGACCAUUCUAACCCGCCACGCUUAGCGCGUGGGGAGACAGUGUCAGGUGGGCAGUUUGACUGGGGCGGUCGCCUCCUAAAGAGUAACGGAGGCGCCCAAAGGUUCCCUCAGAAUGGAUGGAAAUCAUUCGCAGAGUGUAAAGGCACAAGGGAGCUUGACUGCGAGACUGACAAGUCGAGCAGGGACGAAAGUCGGGCUUAGUGAUCCGGUGGUUCCGCAUGGAAGGGCCAUCGCUCAACGGAUAAAAGCUACCCCGGGGAUAACAGGCUUAUCUCCCCCAAGAGUCCACAUCGACGGGGAGGUUUGGCACCUCGAUGUCGGCUCGUCGCAUCCUGGGGCUGUAGUCGGUCCCAAGGGUUGGGCUGUUCGCCCAUUAAAGCGGCACGCGAGCUGGGUUCAGAACGUCGUGAGACAGUUCGGUCCCUAUCCGUCGCGGGCGCAGGAAAUUUGAGAGGAGCUGUCCUUAGUACGAGAGGACCGGGAUGGACACACCGCUGGUGUACCAGUUGUUCCGCCAGGAGCAUCGCUGGGUAGCUAUGUGUGGCAGGGAUAAACGCUGAAAGCAUCUAAGCGUGAAGCCCCCCUCAAGAUGAGAUUUCCCAUUUCUUCGGAAAGUAAGAUCCCUGAAAGAUGAUCAGGUAGAUAGGUU